AUCCAGAGGACAGUGGAACAACAUCUUUAAAAGGUUGAAAGGAAAAACGAUCAACCCAGAAUUCUAUAUCCAGCACAAAUGUCCUUCAGGAAUGAAAGCAAGAUAAAGACAUUUUUCAGAUAAAGGAGAACCAAGAAAAUCCAUUACCAGCAGAACAUCACUACAAGUUACACAAAAGGAAGUUCUUCAAGAUAAAAGGAAAUGACAGCAGAGCAAAAACUGGAUCUUCAGGAACGAAUGGUGAAUGGGUGAUGGUGACAUUCACUGGGACAAGCUUACUGGACUGGGGUAGACAAGUACAGAUCAUCAGCCCAAUAUUGGACAAGCUGAGUAUGAAGUGACUGCAACGCCAACAGAUGACAUCAAACAGGCAGCUGGAUAUCUAAGUCAGGAGCUCUGACAACCUCUGGGCUGAAGGCAAAUCUGGGAGUCACCAGAGAACAAAUAUAAUUGAAGUUGUGAACACAAACAGCAUCCGCCAAGGAAUCAGAACCUAAAGAAGUGGAGGAAGGUACCCACUCAUAUCAGAAGUCAUGCUCUGCAUCAAAUAGCAAAAGAAAGUGUCUCAAAAAAAAAAA